GUGUUUGUUUCAGCAGCACAUAUACUAAAAUUGGAACAAUACAGAAAUUAGCAUGGCCCCUGCGCAAGGAUGACAUGCAAAUUCGUGAAGCGUUCCAUAUUUUU
rnacentral:snRNA from 1 species